rnacentral:lncRNA from 1 species
CUAAGUCACCGUCCCCCAUCCCCCACGGUCCCCUGUGAGAACCAGUCAGUGUGUUGAGCAUCAGCUGAGGCUUCCAGAUUCCAUGGGGAAUGACCCCCAUUGUGUGUGCUGAGGACCAGGCAGCCUCUGGCUAACUUCUUGCUUCUCGGUGUCCUGGGAACCGGUGCUGUUUGCUCCUGUCUGGAGCCUCUGUGGCUGAGCAGAGCACAUGCUGCCCUGGCCAGUGUUUCCAUAGCUGCCUCCAGGCUCCAGGCCCCAGGCUCCAGGCUGCUGCAGACUGUGAAUGAGGCCUCUCCUCUGCCCUCUGUGCUCUGUGCCAUCUCCAUGACUAAGCUUCCUGCCGUGCUCCUUCAGAUGGCAGGCCUCUGGGGCAAAUGUGGAUCCUCCAGUCUCCCAACAAGUUCUUCCAUGAGGCCCCUGAUCCUAAAGUCAAAGAUUCCAGCUGAAUCCAUGUGUGUACAAGUGCAUGUGACCAAUACAACCGGAGCCCCCAACCAGCCCAGAGAUGACAGAGGUGGAAGAGCAGCAGUAUGGGAGCCGUGGUAAGGGCAGCUGCUUCCAAGUGUGAACCGCCUUCAGAGCUGCUGAGGACAGAGUGAAGUCAUGCCAGUAAAGUGUCAGGAGCCAUGACCUCACCCAGUAAGUACUCAAUAAAUGCAGAUGUAACAAAUGCCCUGUGCA